UGUUGGCGGGGUAACGGCCCACCAAGGCAACGAUCAGUAGGGGUUCUGAGAGGAAGGUCCCCCACAUUGGAACUGAGACACGGUCCAAACUCCUACGGGAGGCAGCAGUGAGGAAUAUUGGUCAAUGGGCGAGAGCCUGAACCAGCCAAGUAGCGUGCAGGAAGACGGCCCUAUGGGUUGUAAACUGCUUUUAUAAGGGAAUAAAGUGAGUCUCGUGAGACUUUUUGCAUGUACCUUAUGAAUAAGGACCGGCUAAUUCCGUGCCAGCAGCCGCGGUAAUACGGAAGGUCCGGGCGUUAUCCGGAUUUAUUGGGUUUAAAGGGAGCGUAGGCCGGAGAUAAAGCGUGUUGUGAAAUGUAGACGCUCAACGUCUGCACUGCAGCGCGAACUGGUUUCCUUGAGUACGCACAAAGUGGGCGGAAUUCGUGGUGUAGCGGUGAAAUGCUUAGAUAUCACGAAGAACUCCGAUUGCGAAGGCAGCUCACUGGAGCGCAACUGACGCUGAAGCUCGAAAGUGCGGGUAUCGAACAGGAUUAGAUACCCUGGUAGUCCGCACGGUAAACGAUGGAUGCCCGCUGUUGGUCUGAACAGGUCAGCGGCCAAGCGAAAGCAUUAAGCAUCCCACCUGGGGAGUACGCCGGCAACGGUGAAACUCAAAGGAAUUGACGGGGGCCCGCACAAGCGGAGGAACAUGUGGUUUAAUUCGAUGAUACGCGAGGAACCUUACCCGGGCUUGAAUUGCAGAGGAAGGAUUUGGAGACAAUGACGCCCUUCGGGGUCUCUGUGAAGGUGCUGCAUGGUUGUCGUCAGCUCGUGCCGUGAGGUGUCGGCUUAAGUGCCAUAACGAGCGCAACCCCUCUCCUUAGUUGCCAUCAGGUUAAGCUGGGCACUCUGGGGACACUGCCACCGUAAGGUGUGAGGAAGGUGGGGAUGACGUCAAAUCAGCGCGGCCCUUACGUCCGGGGCUACACACGUGUUACAAUGGCAGGUACAGAGAGACGGUUGUACGUAAGUACGAUCAAAUCCUUAAAGCCUGUCUCAGUUCGGACUGGGGUCUGCAACCCGACCCCACGAAGCUGGAUUCGCUAGUAAUCGCGCAUCAGCCAUGGCGCGGUGAAUACGUUCCCGGGCCUUGUACACACCGCCCGUCAAGCCAUGAAAGCCGGGGGCGCCUAAAGUCCGUGACCGUAAGGAGCGGCCUAGGGCGAAACUGGUAAUUGGGGCUAAGUCGUAACAAGGUA
rnacentral:rRNA from 1 species